UGAGGAAUAUUGGUCAAUGGGCGAGAGCCUGAACCAGCCAAGUAGCGUGCAGGAUGACGGCCCUAUGGGUUGUAAACUGCUUUUAUGUGGGGAUAAAGUGCGUGACGUGUCAUGCAUUGCAGGUACCACAUGAAUAAGGACCGGCUAAUUCCGUGCCAGCAGCCGCGGUAAUACGGAAGGUCCGGGCGUUAUCCGGAUUUAUUGGGUUUAAAGGGAGCGUAGGCUGUCUAUUAAUCGUGUUGUGAAAUUUACCGGCUCAACCGGUGGCUUGCAGCGCGAACUGGUCGACUUGAGUAUGCAGGAAGUAGGCGGAAUUCAUGGUGUAGCGGUGAAAUGCUUAGAUAUCAUGACGAACUCCGAUUGCGCAGGCAGCUUACUGUAGCAUAACUGACGCUGAUGCUCGAAAGUGCGGGUAUCAAACAGG
rnacentral:rRNA from 1 species